UCUCCUACGGGGGGCAGCAGUGGGGAAUAUUGCACAAUGGGGGAAACCCUGAUGCAGCGACGCCGCGUGUGGGAAGACGGUCCUCUGGAUUGUAAACCACUGUCCCCAGGGACGAAGAUGACGGUACCUGGGGAGGAAGCUCCGGCUAACUACGUGCCAGCAGCCGCGGUAAUACGUAGGGAGCAAGCGUUGUCCGGAAUUACUGGGUGUAAAGGGAGCGUAGACGGCAUGGCAAGUCUGAUGUGAAAACCCGGGGCUCAACCCCGGGACUGCAUUGGAAACUGUCAGGCUAGAGUGUCGGAGAG
rnacentral:rRNA from 1 species